AUUGAACGCUGGCGGCAGGCCUAAUACAUGCAAGUCGAACGAGUGGCGGACGGGUGAGUAAUGUCUGGGAAACUGCCUGAUGUAGGGGGCUAACUACUGGAAACGGUAGCUAAUACCGCAUACUCUCAGAUGGGCCCAGAUGGGAUUAGCUUGGUGGUGGGGUAACGGCUCACCAAGGCGACGAUCCCUAGCUGGUCUGAGAGGAUGACCAGCCACACGGGGACUGAGACACGGCCCAGACUCCUACGGGAGGCAGCAGUGGGGAAUAUUGCACAAUGGGCGCAAGCCUGAUGCAGCCAUGCCGCGUGUAUGAAGAAGGCCUUCGGGUUGUAAAGUACUUUCAGCGGGGAGGCGUUACCCGCAGAAGAAGCACCGGCUAACUCCGUGCCAGCAGCCGCGGUAAUUC
rnacentral:rRNA from 1 species